rnacentral:rRNA from 1 species
GGGAGCUUGCUCCCUGAUGUUAGCGGCGGACGGGUGAGUAACACGUGGGUAACCUGCCUGUAAGACUGGGAUAACUCCGGGAAACCGGGGCUAAUACCGGAUGCUUGAUUGAACCGCAUGGUUCAAUUAUAAAAGGUGGCUUUUAGCUACCACUUACAGAUGGACCCGCGGCGCAUUAGCUAGUUGGUGAGGUAACGGCUCACCAAGGCAACGAUGCGUAGCCGACCUGAGAGGGUGAUCGGCCACACUGGGACUGAGACACGGCCCAGACUCCUACGGG